UGCCACCUUCUCCAGCUCCAGCUCCUCACGGUGCCUCAGCUGCAGCACGUGGAUCCCUGAGCGAAAGCUGGCGCAGAGCAGCGUGGAGCUGUCGCAGGCAGCCAGUGAGACCAGCGGUCCAGCUCCCUCGAGGCAUGCAGUGGCAAGGCAGGCUGAGGAGGAAAGAGAAAAAGUCACUCUGACACCAGGUGAGGGGAAAGGUGAGCGAAAGAAGAAAGGUUUUAACAUGGGGAUUGAUCACAUUUCUGUUUUUUAUCCUGUCUUGAAUUAGUGGGGAGGUGCGUAGCCAUACCAGUGAGUUUUGCUGGGCUCAGUGCAGAGCGUAUCUGUGACCCUUCUCCGGAGGCACUGUCUGCCUCUGAGCACUGAGAUAACAAACCUGUGCUGCAGUGGGGCCUGGCAGGCAAGCAGCUUUGUGUCUGGCUCUGGUGAGGACCCAGCCCUCAGCCAACCCUCCGGCAUGCAGAGAUUCCCAUUCAGGAUGGUGGUCGCAGCUGCCCCCUCCACACUCCAGUGCAGCCUGUGUUCCUUACGACUUUCCCGUCCUAAGGAAAGCACUGGAGUUCCCCUGUUCUUUUUGAUUUUCACUGUUUGUCUUUCACUGCUGAACUUGGACAUCCCAUCAUUGCUUCCUGUUAGUUCAAGGAAGAUGCCCAUCACCUCAAGGCUCGUGCACCCAGACAUCCUUCUUUGCCAGAGGAUGGACACAAACUACUCUGGUGCUCAUCUCCACCCAGCCCUACAGCUGCGUGAAAACGCAGGGCUGGCAGGCACACCGCUGUGCGCUCAUCACCCCAGGGAAACAGCAGCCAGGUCUGUUAUCCCAGGGCAGUGCCCUGCCUACCUGCAGUGUCCCGGUCCCAGAUCUUCACUUUGCUGUCGUAUGAAGAUGUGGCAAUGCUGGGGGUCCCACAGCUGCAAGGAAACGAACAGUGCUCAGAGCUCAGGCCGUCACUGCCACCUGCCAGCACAGAGAGGUUUUACAGAGAGAGGAAGGUGGGUUUGGUUAAAGAGCUCCUCGCUCGUCCUCAUAGCACAUCUCUGCCUUUAUCCCUGCCACUGAGCACAUCUCACAACACUUCAAGACUCCAAAAAGGUUUUCACCAUUAAUCCAAAUGUGCAUCUGCAAACAGAAUCCCAGCACUUUAAUAAGGAAGGAUAUUUGCUGCUGCAGUAGACUGACAAAGGGAUAGACAGGGGGGAAACUGAGCACCAGCCCAACCCGUGACUCCAGGUAAGGCCAAAGCAGUGGGAGCUGUGCUAUGCUGCAGGCAGAGCCCUGGAGGACUGAGCUGCUGCCCUGUGCUGUGUGCUGUGGAGAUGAAGAGAAGCAGGAGUUGGACUGGGUGCCCUACAGACUCACUGUUGCUUCGCAGCCCUCCCCAGAAAAUCCGCUGCUGCUGCUGACACAGUAUCGCCCAUCCUGGCUCACAUCACAGCUUGUCUGGAUGUGCUGCUUGCCUGGGAAUGUGUGUGCCACCUGCAGCUCCCGGCUGUCCCACAUCCUGGAAGCAGAAAAAGUGGGGAUGGGGACAUGGAGCCAUUACUGUGCUACAGGAGCCGUUGGUGCCCUCCCUGCAGCCCCACUGUGCUCCUGCGCUUUGCCACCACGGAGCAGCCUCUCUCCUUUCUACAAGCCUUUAUCCAGGGCAGCUGUGUGGAGCUCAGAAUUUUCUCUUUUGUGCCCAUAGGCGGUGCCCAGUGCUGCUUGCAGCUGCAGAUGCCCCCAUGCUGUCCUCCCCCAGCAGGAGACCCAGCCACUUUAGUAACCCAAGAUACUACCAUCUGAGGAUGCUUUACCCGUACGUGGCCGUGUGCAAGCUGAUCUUACUCUGCAGUUUUCCCAU